rnacentral:lncRNA from 1 species
GCACUGUUGUCACGAAUUCCUUCACCUACACACAAAUUCAAAGUCUCCUCUAUCAUAAUUUCUCUAAAAAACUAUUGUAAUCUGUUGACGAUCUUGUGCUAGGAAAUACGCGAUGACAAACUGUUACCUAAGGCAAAUGAAGUGUCAUAUGCAAUGGCUAACUGGAAUCUUCACUAUCUGAAACAAACACGACCUUAAAACUUUGAAGACUUACAGAAUGAAGCAAAAGGGGCAUACAUAUAGGAUAAGAUGCAAUUGUCGGAUUUCAGAACUAGACAAGCCAAACCAAAGAACUUUUUAGAUUAAUUCAUUUCGUAAUUUUUCGAAACUUGCUUAUAUGAUCAAUCCAUAUAAUAAUUGGGAGUUCUCCCAAGUUCAUAUUUUCUAUUUUGUUUACUGUUAUAAAGGAAGUUACUCUUUAACAUGGAGGAGCCCUCCACAUUCCACAACUUAGAUUGCCAAAUUGUACUUUGAGCAUUCAUCUAGAUAUAAAUACACAUUUUUAAAGACCUUAAAGUGUAAAAAGGGAAGGCAUGUCUACCUUCUUUUAUGUUAUCAAUAAGGUAAAUUUUCAUCCCCCUGACUUCAUGUAUAAUACACAAAUUACCCCCUUAAACUUAUCCGGAAAAGCCUAUUAAACGCUUUAACUUUACGGACAAUCCUUUACACCCUAUUCUCAAGGGAUUAUUUAUGCAUUUUCCCAAUUUCUGAACAUUAAUACACGAGGCACAGGUCAAUAUCUGACCAGUGCCAUCAAUAGGUGAAUUUUCCUUUUUCUUUAAAUGUUUGCUUCUAUACACUCUCUAUUCGACGCUUAAUAAACACCUCUUUUCUUGAUAGAUACUCCCUCCACCCCACCCCCACCCCACCCCACCCCUUGGUCCCAGAAUACUUGCCACUAUUCACUUCCAAGAGUUAAACUAUAUGAACUUUGAUCACAUUUUAAGAUAUAUCUGUUCACCAUAUUAAUAUAAAAGAUUUGCAACUUAUAGUACUUUUUAUAGCAUUUGAAUAUUUAAUUAAUAUCAAAAUAUUGCAAAAAACUAAAAAUUGCUACACCAAGAGCGUUGUCGGUCCUUUUCCUCAUUACUUAGAAAAAGUGAGUCACUGGUCAGGUACAAGAUACUACCAUGCCGGUGAACGCGGCCGCUGGUAUAUUCUAGAAGAUGAACUAGCGCAGGAAGAGUGAGUAAGAGCUUCUUCUAGAAGUUUCGUAUUCUUAAAUUGAUAUUUCAAUAGCUCUUCCAUUUGCCUUUAUUGAUGUAGCAGUUUGAGAAAUACACUACUAACAACCCUUGAAUCAUGGAGAAGAUCAAGGAAUGAACAAAACUACACUCACACUUUUUAACAGUCCGAGCAACUUGGUUAAUUUCUCCGCACUGACAUCAAACGAGUAAGAGCUUUUUCUAGAAGCUUCGUAUACUUAAAUUGAUAUUUUAAUACCUUUUCUAUUGCCUUUAUUGAUGUCGCAGUUCGAGAAAUACACUAUUAACGCCCUCGAAUCAAAAAGAAGAUCAAGGAACGAACAAAAUUAUACUCACAAUUUUGAAGCAUCCGAGCAAGUUAGUUAAUUUUCUGCACUGACAUCAAACGAGUAAGAGCUUUGUAUUCUUAAAUUGAUAGUACUUUAAUAGCUCCCUAAUCAUGGAGAAGAUGAAGGAACGAACAAAAUUAUACUCACAAUUUUGAAGAGCCCAAACAACUUAGCUAAUUUUUUCACACUGACAUUAUAGAAGCUUCGAGUAGUUAAAUUGAUACUUCAAAUAGCUCUUCUAUUGUCACGUCCCAAAAUAAUCCCUAGGCAUGACUGGCUCCCAAUAACACCACUUGCCGGGAGAACUAAUUUUCUAUACAUUCACAAUAUCUACAAACACUGAGAUAAAGACAUGUGCAACUUCAAGUGCGUGAAAUAAUUAUUAAACACAAAGUAUUCAUCCACCCGGUUACCGUAAUACGAUUUAUGAAAACAACAAUACUUAAAUAAUAACUCUCUAGCCUCAAAUCCCAUACCAAAAUCAUGGAGCAUCUAAACAGAGUUAUUUGAGUUCAACUUUUGGGCAUGCAAACCCAACAUAAGAAUUAUAAUCUAAAAUAACUAAAGUUGGAUGACUGCCUCCACGAACAAUGCGAAGGCUUACCUUCGCAACAUAAUCCACACGUAAAGACUGUCAGCCACAAGUCUCUCUCUCCGCAACCGUAUCUGCAAGCAUGCAAGGAAGGAGUGAGCUAUAUAAAUAUAACCCAGUAAGGUCCUCGACCCGCUACUUUAAUACUCCUAGAACAAGUGUUAAAAAUAUAAGGCACAACAAAAUACACAAAUAAUAUGUACAUAAUGUAUCUCAAUAAAAUCCAAAAGGAAGUUCAAAAAUGUUACUCUAUAUCUCCACUCAAUCCCCUCUCACGACUUGUCAUAAACGGCAGUGAAGGUGAUCGGCCUAGCAACUCGACAAGUCCAUGGCAGCUUAUAUAAUGUCCCAAAAAGUCUACUACAACAGCAUGUACAAGCCCCUAACAUAGUACAGCAGCAUAAGUAAUGCCCCUAACAUAUUAGGGCAGCUAUGUAUCCCUCUAGAGACUAUAACCGCAGCGACGAAAAUUUCCCUCUAACGAUAAUUUCCCCAACUUGCAAUAUGUAAGACAUUAACCAAACAACGACCAACGAGAUCAAUCUAAACAAAAGUUUAAAUAACAAUAUCAAUUAUGCUACUUCGACCAAGCUUCAAUAUCCUUAACUUUUAAACUUACAGCUAGACCUUGGCAUCUCACACCGUACCUAUUGAUUUAACGAUAAUUUUCCAAUACAACUGUCCAACAUGACACCAACGAUGAGGAAAAGAAAAAAAAUUCUCAAACAAAGGUUCAUUUCACAAACAUUUCCACCAUAAAGUUAUGUCCUCUUAAAAGUCUUUAAAGGGUCGAAACUUUCAGCAACACAACAAAAUCAACACUUGCAAGAAUAAGAAAUUUUGUUUUCAUCAAAGGAUGUGACUAUUCGAGAAAGUAACAACCAUCACUAGUUAGAUUUAACUGUUCAUGAUUCUCUAUCAUUCCAGAUGUCAUAACCUCCAUUAUAUAAGUACUCCACCUCAAAUUUUCAGGAAGCCAACAUGUCCUAGUUAUUUCUAUUCUAGCUUGCUGCACUAAUUUCAUGAACAACACAACACUGUUGUACGUAUAUUUUAAUUCCAUGCUAAAAAACAAUGGAAAAAAUUUCAUACCUUAAUAACUGAGAAGCUUUAAUCCCACCUUUAUGUUCCCCAACCUAUUUUUUUUUCCUCCUAUGCUGCCUGCUGAUCUCUUCCAAGGAUACAGGAAACAAUAUAUAGCCCUAGUAGUAUACUUAUAAUGUUAUAAACCUGAAACUGAAGAAGUCUUUUGACUUGCCCCUUUUAAUUCCUUAAUUAAUAUUAAUAAUUGGUUAUAGUUAUCAAUUAACCCUUAAUUAAAAAGAAAUAAUAAGCUGGAUAUUACAUUCUCCCCCACUUAAAAUAACGUUCAUCUUCGAACGGGUCUAGAAUCAUAUCUGAAAUGUCAAAUAAGUGAGGAUAUCUAACUCGCAUCUCCUCCUCGGACUCCCAAGUAGCUUCUUCGGUUGGAUGAUUACACCAUAAUACCUUAACUGAAGCUAUCUUUUUCGACCUCAACUGUCGCACUUACCUAUCAAGAAUAGCUAUCGGGAUUUCCUCAUAAGUUAGAUUCUCAUCAAUAUCUACAUCCUCUGGCUAGUAUCUUAUGGCUAUCAUCACGAACAUACUGUUUAAGCAUAGACACGUGAAACAUAGGAUGAACUGCAGACAAUCUCGGAGGUAAAGCAAGCCUAUAUUCCACCAAUCCAAUUUUGUCCAAAAUCUCAUAAGGACCAAUGUAUCUAGGACUUAGCUAACCUUUCCGACCAAAUCUCAUAACUCCUUUCAUGGGAGAAACUUUCAGAAAAACUUUUCCCCCUUUUUCAAACUCCAAAUCACAAAACCCCUUAUCUGCAUAAGACUUCUACCUGCUUUGUGACGUUUUAAGUCGGUCUCGUAUCACUGCAACCUUCUCCAAUGCUUGCUGAACUAAAUCUGGACCCAAUAACUGUGCUUCGCUGGGAUCAAACUAGCCAACUGGUGAACGACACUUGCGACCAUAUAGAGCCUCAUAUGGUGCCAUUUGGAUGCUCGACUGGUAGCUAUUAUUAUAAGCAAACUCUGCUAAAGGCAACUGAUCAUCCCAAUGGCCACCAAAAGUCAAUAGCGCAAGCUCUAAGCAUGUCCUCCAAGAUCUGAAUAACCCGUUCAGACUCCCCGUCAGUCUGCGGAUGAAAAGCUAUACUCAACUAAACUUGCGAACCCAAUGAUUUCUGAAAGGAUAUCCAGAACUCAGUAGUGAACUGCGCACCUCAAUCAGAUAUGAUUGAGAUAGGUACACCAUAAAGCUGAACUAUCUCCCAAAGAUAAAUCUCCACUAACUGCUUCGAGCUAUAAGUAACCCAAACUGGUAUGAAAUGGGCAGAUUUUGUAAGUCUAUCCACUAUCACCCAGACUGAGUCGUGCUUCCUUAAUGUAUUUGGCAACCCAACAACGAAAUCCAUAGUAAUCCUUACCCACUUCCACUCCAAAAUAAUUAAUUUUGCAUCACUCCGCUAGGUUUUUGAUGUUCAUAUUUAAGCUGCUGACAAUUUAAACAACUAAUCACAUGUUUCAAAAUAUCAACUUUCAUACCUUUCCACCAGUACAAUCCACGUAAGUCUUGAUACAUUUUCAUAGCACCAGGGUGGAUAGAAUAUCGCGAGCUAUAAUCCUCAUCAAGAAUUAGUUGCCUCAUAUCACCCACAACAGGAACAUACAAUCUUCCAUGAUGACGUAGCACACCUUCAUCAUCAAUAGUGAAAGACUUAACACCGCCAUUCUGUACUCGAUCUCAAAUCUCAACAAGGUAGGGAUCAUCAUAUUGACAAGUCUUAACUUGCCCAACUAAGGACGACUAAACCACCAUAACCGCAAGUAGCUUUCCAGGCACUGACUGAUCAAUUCGAACUCCAUGAUUGGCUAAAGACUGAAUAUCCAUAAACAAAGGUUUCUUUUCGACAACAAAUAGGGUCAAGAUGCCCAUAGACUUCCUACUCAAAGUGUCUGCUACUACAUUCGCCUUCCCAGGAUGAUACAAGAUAGUGGGAUCAUAAUCUUUAAGUAACUCUAACUACCGUCAUCUCAAAUUCAGAUCUCUUUGCUUGAAUAAGUAAUGCAGACUCUUGUGAUCAGUAUAGAUUUCACACGGCUUACCAUAAAGAUAAUGACGCCAGAUCUUGAGUGCAAAUACAACUGCGGCCAAUUCCAAGUCGUGAGUCGAAUAAUUUUUCUCAUGGACCUUUAGCUGUCGAGAAGCAUAUGCCACCACUUUACUAUUCUGCAUUAAAACACAACCCAACCCAAUUCGAGAUGCAUCAUAAUAAAUAGUGAAACCACCCUCUGUCAUAGGUAAGGUCAAAAUUGAAGCCAAAAUCAAUGUCGUCUUUAAUUUCUGAAAACUUUCUUCAUAUUUAUCCAACCAUUGAAAAACGAUACCCUUUUGAGUUAAGCAUGUCAAUGAAGUAACUACCUUUGAGAAACCCUCUACAAACCUCCUAUAAUAAUUAGCUAAACCCAAGAAGCUAUGUAUCUCUGUAAUAGUACUAGGUCGAGGCCAAUCUCGGACUGUUUCAAUCUUCUUUGGAUCAACAUGGAUCCCAUCUCUUGACACCACAUGCCCCAAAAAGGAAACCGUGCCCAACCAAAACUCACACUUUAAGAACUUGGCAUAAAGCUUAUGUCUCUAAGUGUCUGCAGCACAACUCUCAAGUGUUGUUCAUGUUCCACCUCACUCCGAGAGUAAACCAAAAUGUCAUCAAUGAACACAAUAACAAAUUCAUCUAAAUACGGCUUGAAUACUGUGUUCAUGAGGUCCAUAAAUGCUGCAGGUGCAUUAGUCAGUCCAAAAGACAUCACUAAAAAUUCAAAAUGUCCAUACCUGGUCCGAAAAGCCAUGUUAGUGAAAUCUUUGGCCUUGACUCUCAGCUGAUGAUAACCCGAUCUCAAGUCAAUCUAAGAAAAGUGCGAAUAAAUCAUCAAUUCGAGGAAAGGGAUAGUUAUUCUUGAUUGUCACCUUAUUUAACUGCCUAUUGUCAAUGCACAUUCUCAGCGUGCCAUCUUUCUUUUUCACAAAUAACACAGGUGCACCCCAAGGUGACACAUUAGGCCUAAUGAAUCCCUUAUCAAGUAAUUCCUGAAGUUGAACCUUCAAUUCCCUCAACUCAGCAGGAGCCAUACGGUAAGGUGGAAUAGAGAUAGGUUGAGUCUGUGGCACCAAAUCAAUGUUGAACUCAAUUUCUCUCAUUGGAGGUAAACCGGGAAAAUCAUCUGGAAACACAUCAAUUUACUCCCGAACAAUGGGAACAUUAUUUAUAGAAACUUCCUCUGCUCUAGUGUCAUGAACAGUAGCGAUAACACCCAAACAACCAUGGUUAAUCAUUCGGCGGGCUUUUACAUAGGAUAUUAUCUUCCCUUGAGUCACAGGGGUUAUACCUUUCCACACUAAAGGUGGUUCUCCAUGAAUAUCAAAACAUGUAAGUUUAGCAUAACAAUUAAUCAAUGUGUAACAUGACGCCAACCAAUUCAUACCCAUAAUCACAUCAAAAUCAGUUAUUGGCAACACAAGUAGAUCAAAUAUGGUGUCCUUACCCUGAAUAGAUAUCACACAACCUCUAUAAACUUUAUCCACUGAUAAGGCCAUCGUAAUAAAAUAUGGCUCAACAAGAGUCUCAAUCCUUCUCUAUAAGAAUAUAACAAAAGAUGGGGACACAUACGAAUAUGUAGAACCGAGAUCAAUAAGAGAAUAAGCCUCAUGAGAGUUUACAGUGAUAAUACCUGUGACCAUUGCAUUAGAUGCCUCGAUAUCCUGUCUGGCCAUAGCAAAGAAUCUUGGUGGUCCACCUACUGUUUGAGAACCCUAAGUACCCUGCCGACCCUGUCCACAAGCACUCUGUGGAGUGUUCCUAGUGGCUGGGUAUGAGCAUGAGUACUUGCAAUAUCUCUCUGUGUAUGUGCAGUAGUUUAACUAGAACCAGAAUUUCCCUUAGGACAAAACUUAGCAAUUUGCCCUCUUUCACCACAAGUACAACAAGGACCGCCAAUUCCAAAAUAACAUCCACUAUGAUUCCUACCAUAAUUAGAGCAUUUCGAAUGUUGCCCAAACUGAAAGAAACCGCUACCAUUCCUCUGUACCUGUUGCUACUAUCCCUGUCUAGCUAGAUAACUAUUCCUUGAAGAUUGGCCCACUGACUCUGACUGUGUAGGCCUGGACUGUCCACGAUCAAAACCACUCUUGCUCCCAGGCGGAGCACCACUAAACCCACCUGAGUUACGUGCCUUUUUGUUUUCUCGAUUAAUCAUUUCCAUCUCAUAAUAGGACUCAGAACGAAAAGCAGUGUCAAACACCUCAAGAUAGGAUCCAUUACACAUAUCACGUAUCAUUGGACCACGAUAGCGAGCCUCAAGUCCAUCCAUAAAUCAUCUUACUUUCUCCCUCUGAUCUGUAACUAAAGAUGGAACAUACCUGGACAACUCAGUAAACUUAGCUUCGUACUCAGUGACUGUCAUAGAUCCCUAUCGUAACUCAUUAAAUUGGCAUCUCAUGUCAUUUUGUUUCCUCAAGGGAAUAAAUCUGUCCAAGAACAUAGCUGAAAACUCUGACCAAGUAAUUGGUGGUAGCCCUGCUUGUCUGCCCCUUAAAAUGGAAGUCAACCAAGCCUUGGGAGAUCCUGAGAAUAGAAAAGUAGUAAAAUCUAUACCACGAGUCUCAAUCAGUCCUAAAGUAGUCAGUAUCUUCUCGCAGCGAUCUAAAAACUUUUGAGGCUCAGUAGAAGAUGGUGUAGCAUCAAACUCCGGUGGCUUAAGAUCCAUGAAAUUCUUUAGAUCCUUGGGUUGCCCUACAGCUGUAAUCGAAUGAUCAACAGGUAGAGGUUCCUGAGAGGUUGCAACAUUCAACAGAACUUGUGCUUGCGUCUGUGAAGUAACCUAAGGAGCUAGAGUUCGACCCUAAUUAGGCACCAAUGCCUCAAGUACAUUCAACAUUCUUACCACUACGUCUGCAGGCAAAGUAUCAGUAAGUGCAGCAACUGGCACUGCAGCUGGAGUAUCUCGAUCAACCUGAUUCUGCGCUUGCUGAGAAGCCACAACUUGGGGCUGGUCCCCAUUCCCAACUCCAGUCUGAGCACCAAUUUGCAUCCAAGUUCGAGGCCUAGUUGGAUGAGACCUAAAUCGACCACCACCACGAGUAGGAUCUUGUCCAGCAUCACGUCCAGCAGGUGCAUUAGAUCGACUAGCGGAGGGAUAACCAAGUCUCUUAACCAUCUGCGAAACAAUAUUUAAGGGUUAGACUUAAUUCAACUCAACGCACAAAUAAUGAAUAAAAGGGGGAAACUUCCUAGUUGUUCCGUAGCCUCAAGUUCAUAAGUAUGGGCUCCUACAUACCCAUGAACAAGAAUCUACUAAACACUAAUCCAUAACCCGGGACCUAAAGCCUACGCUAUGAUACCAAUUUUGUCACGUCCCAAAAUAAUCUCUAGGCGUGACUGGCUCCUGAUAACACCACUUGCCGGGAGAACUAAUUUUCUAUACAUUCACAAUAUCUACAAACACUGAGAUAAAGACAUGUGCAACUUCAAGUGCGUGAAAAUAGUAUUAAACGCAAAGUAUUCAUCCACCCGGUUACCGUAAUAUGAUUUAUGAAAACAGCAAUACUUAAAUAAUAGCUCUCUAGCCUCAAAUCCCACACUAAAACUAUAGAGCAUCUAAACAGAGUUAUAUGAGUUCAACUUUUGGGCAUGCAAACCCAACAUAAGAAUUAUAAUCUAAAAUACUAAAGUUGGAUGACUGCCUCCACGAACAAUGUGAAGGCUCACCUUAGCAACAUAAUCCAUACGAAAAGACUGUCAGCCACAAGUAUCUCUCUCCGCAACCAUAUCUGCAAAGUGAGCUAUAUAAAUAUAACCCAGUAAGAUCCUCGAUCCGCUACUUUAAUACCCCUGGAACAAGUGUUAAAAAUACAAGGCACAACAAAAUACAGAAAUAAUACGUAACGCCCCAAAAUCUCACCCCGAGAGUUCACACGGUGCUUAGGGAUACACGUAGAUCCCAAGCUAACCCUUUGAGCCUACAACCAUACUUUAUACUUAAUUUAAGAAUUAAAAUCAAAUAAUCUAAGUUUCACUCUCAUCAAUCCACGCUGUAAAUAUAAUGUCCAAGUCUCAAGAUACAGAGAAAUCGAGAAAUACAAAUAACAGUCUAGUCUGACAAACCUCUACAACUCAAGAAUAGGAAGCCACUGGGACAGACCCCAACUGAAUCAUACUCAAAUAGAAUAAGAUAAAUACAACAACUGAUGUUACAGAACAUCUGGAAAUCUGGUCCACGAACCAUGAGGACUCACCACUGCAGGAGUGUAGAUAAAAGUGCUCAGAAAUCACUGACGCUGCUGGAACUGAGCACCUGAGCCUACAUCAUAAGAAAAUGUAGCCCACAUACGGAUAUGUGGAUCAGCACUUUGGGAAUGUACUGAGUAUAUGGGGUGUAUGCAAUUAAGUAAACAACAUCGUAAGUUUAUAUAAAAUCAUGCAUGCGGAUCAUAAUGACUCACAAAGCUGGAAUAAAGCUGAAAUAUAAGAAUUUUAAAUCAUGAAUAAUGAACAUAUAUCAUAAAUCUCGUGAGUCAUCAUACUUAGCUCAAAAUAUAAACUUCUUCUUUUCUUCUCAAAACUCAAAGGUUAAGGAAAUCCGUAAACAAUACUUUCAAAUCUCAUACUUUCAACUUAAUUCAGAGUAAGGGACAACUUCGGGAGUUUCUUUUAACCGACAUAAAAAAUAUGAGCUUAUCAUGGAGUCCAACGUUUUGUCCUCCUAAGGAAGAAACCCCACAUUGGGAAGGAGCGUCAUACUCUUGCCAGGGAGUAUAACCUCAACUCAGUGAUCACCAACUCGGCCUUAGGCCCACAAAUCUCAAUCCUACGGUGGCACGUAGUUUUAGGAAAGUAGGGUACGCUCACCCACACCUCCCGCUCGAUGCUAAAUACUACUCCCGUACUCAAGUUUAGACUCAUUUAGGAAAUCCACCUCAAAAUAAUCUCAAGCGUCUAUAAUGAAGACCAAAUCAUAUUUCUCAUAAUUGAAUCAAAAUAAAUUGUGGAUUCCUAUUUUCAACUCAAAAUCACAAUAUCAUUCUUGACUCAAAUCUUCUCAAAAUCAUAUCUUUAUCAAAAUCAAACCCAUUCUUGACAUAAAUACAAUAGUUCAAUUUUUUUUUCCAAGAACAUAGACUUAAAAAUCUCAACACCAAAUCUUUAGACUCAAAUUCAAGAUUCAAAACUCAUAACAAUUCGCAAUAUCAACUCAACCCACUAUUAUUCUUGAAAUCAUUCAACAAUACAAAUUCAUAAGUAAAGGAUAUAACUCAUGAUAUAAACUUUUAAUUCAAGACAUAAUAAAUACAAGGUCAUGAAAAUCACAACUUAAAUAACUCAUAAUCCCAUAAUCUCAUAAAUAGUAUCUUGGUAUAAAUAUAUUCAACUUUAAUUUCAUAAAUACCAUAUAAAAUCAAAAACAUAUCUUGUAAUAAAAAUUAAGUUUUGGGCACAAGAACGGAAGGAUUAUUCUUGUUCAACACCCACAUACCUCAAAUUUAUGAGUAUUAAUGAACUUUUGAAUAGGAAACUCUAUUUGCAAAAUUGAUAGGCGCUCCUUGUAGCUCUUGUAAUGGGGAUCCCAACUCUUAAAUUAUUUUUGAAUUUCUACGGUUGAAUUUUGAGGGAUCUUGAUUUUUGUUUUGGGGCUAAGGGAAGUUGUUCUUGUGAAUUUGGAGAAUAAGGAUCAGAUUUUGGUCUAAAUGACCAUUAAUUCCGUGUUUAUGGAUAUAUAUAUAUAUAGGGGUAGGAAAGACUAAAAUACCCCUAAGGAAACAAACAAAGUCACAGCUGUCCCUCAGUUGACAGGUUUGAUAUGCUGGCGUAAAUUGGCCAUAUCUUUUUACUCAGAUGUUCAAAUUGGAUGAAACCAAUUGAAUUGGAAAGAAGACUCAAAGAGAUUUCAUUUGAUAUCUAGCAGCUCUCCCAGUUUAUUAUAUACAAAAAGUUAUGAUUAUUACAAGUUGACACUGAAAUGCUGAAAACUGGGCACCUGACCAGCACCUUUUGCCACUGGUUUGACAUACCAAACGUGCCCUUACGCUACUCCAAAAAUUCUGAAUCUCACCCAAGAUAUACUAUGACCUUUCCCCGAAGUUAAGGACUCAAAAAUAAACUAAGUUUUGGAAAUGCUUAGUAGAAUUUCAAGGCAUAAGAUUUCCUUCAACUCACUCAGAAGGCUUAAACGUCGUGAAAAUUUUACGGAGUAUUACAAUAUCUCCCCCUUGGGAACAUUCGUCCUCAAAUGUCUCUCAGCAGGCUAAGAAUAUAGAGAAACCGAGAAUACGCAACUCAGAGAACUUACUUAAUUGGCUCAACUUCACUCUAAACUCAUGAAUACUUCAAAGAAUACAUGAACUCUUGAUGAGAAUGAAUAAACAGCUGAAUCAUGAAUAUGAAAGGACUGAAUUAUGAAAGAGUAGUACCUUCAGCUUGCUUGGAGAAGAGGUGCGGGUAUUUGGUUCACAUGUCUGCUUUUGCUUCCCAAGUAUCUCCCUCAACUGACUGACUACGCCAUAAAACUUUGACCAAGGGAACUUCUUUGUUCCUUAGUUGACGGAUCUGAUAGUCUAGAAUCUCAAAUGGAACCUCAUCAUACGAAAUAUUGUCAUGGACAUUAGGAUUCUCCUAAGGAUCUACAACAACAGCAUCACUAAUACACUUCCUAAGCAUAGAUACAUGGAAGAACGGAUGGAUAGCUAAAAAUUCUGCAGGUAGCUCAAUCUCAUAGGCUACUUUCCCAACACGACUCAAAACUCUAUAAGGACUAAUAUACCGGGGACUAAGCUUCCCCUUCUUCCCAAACCUCUUCACUCCCUUCAUUGGUGAAAUCUUCAGAUACACUAAGUCACUAAUCUCGAACUCAAGGUCUCUUCUUCUCACAUCUGCAUAAGACUUCUGGCGACUCUGAGCCUCCUUUAAUUUUUCUCUAACCAAUCUUACCUUCUCCAUGGCUUUGAAUACUACAUCAUGUCCAGUCACAACAGCUUCACCCACCUCGAACCAACCUAUGGGUGAUCUACAUCUUUUACCAUAUAAAGCCUCAAAUAGUGCCAUCUGAUUGCUAGCAUGGAAACUAUUGUUAUAAGCAAACUCAAUCAAAGGCAAAUGUUCAUCCCAACUACCUUUGAAAUCAAGUGCACAAGCACUCAACGUGUCCUCCAAAGUUUGAAUAGUCCUCUCAGCCUAGCCGUCAUUUUGUGGAUGAAAUGCAGAACUCAAAUGAACUUGGGUACCAAGACCCUUCUGAAAAGAUCUCUAAAACUGUGAAGUGAACUCAGUACCCUUAUCUGAAAUGAUGGACAAGGGAACUCCAUGCAAUCUGACUAACUCACGAAUAUACAAUCUAGCAUAAUCCUUAGCUGUAUAAGAUGUAUGCACAGGUAUAAAAUGCGCUGACUUAGUCAAUCGAUCUACAACAACCCAAAUAGAAUCAUGAUGAUGACGCGAAGGAGGUAAACCAGUCACAAAAUCCAUAUUCACCCCUUCCCAUUUCCAAGUAGGAAUGCUAAACUCUUUUAUUUUACCACUAGGUCUUUGGUGCUCUACCUUAACCUUUUGGCAAGUCGCACACUUUGCUACAAAUGCUGCUAUAUCCUUCUUUAUACCCCUUCACCAAUAGAUUUCCCGCAAGUCGCGGUACAUCUUGGUAGCACCUGGAUGAAUAGAAUAUCGCGUGUCAUGCGCUUCAGCCAUAACUCUCUGCCUCAAAUCAUCAACAUCAGGUACACAUAACCUACCCUGCAAUCUCAACACCCCAUCUCCCCCUUGGUAGAAAACCUCAAUCUUUUGGUCCUUGACUGACUCCUUCAAUCUGACCAAACUAGUAUCUAAGUCUUGCUUUUUCUUCACCUCCGAGACUAAAGAGGACUCGGAACUACUCUGUAGUAACAUACUCCCUUCAGCGGAAUCAAGCAACCUAACACCCAAUCUAGCCAAACGAUGCACAUCAUGAGCUAAUUCUUUCUUAUCAUUCUCCACAUGAGAUACACUACCUAUAGACAACCUGCUAAGAGCAUCUGCUACAACAUUUACCUUACCCGGGUGAUACAACACACUCAUAUCAUAGUCUUUUAACAAUUCUAACCAUCUUCUCUACCUAAGGUUCAACUCCAUCUGAGUAAACACAUAUUGCAAGAUUUUGUGAUCAGUAAACAUAUCAACAUGAGCACCAUACAAAUAAUGUCUCCAGAUUUUCAAAGUAAAAACAACAACAGCUAAUUCAAGAUCAUGGGUAGGUAACUCUUUUCAUGAGGUUUCAACUGUCUAGAGGCAUAGGCUAUAACUUUACCUCGCUGCGUCAACACAAAAGCCAAACCAACUCUAGAGGCAUGACAAUACACAACAAAACCAUCAGUACCAUCAGGCAAAGCUAACACGAGAGCUGAAGUGAGUCGAGUCUUUAACUCCUGAAAAUUCUUCUCACAAGUAUCUGUCCACUGGAACUUAACUUUCUUUUGGGUCAACCGGGUCAUAGGAGAUGCAAUAGAAGAGAAAACUUCGACAAAACGACGGUAAUAACCAGCUAGACCCAAAAACUCCUAAUGUCAGAUGGGGAGGUAGUUCUAGGCCAAUUCUUUAAAGCUUCUGUCUUUUGGGGGUCAACUCGAAUGCCUUCGUCAGAAACAAUAUGACCCAAAAAAGCAAUCGACCUUAACCAAAACUCAUAUUUGCUAAAUUUAGCGAAUAACUGAUGAUCUUUAAGGGUUUGUAGGACAAUUCUAAGAUGAUUGGCAUGAUCAUUCUCACUUCGGGAAUACACAAGAAUAUCGUCUAUGAAUAUAAUGACAAAUAUAUCAAGGUACUAUUUGAACACUCGAUUCAUGAGGUCCAUAAAGGCUGUGGGAGCAUUGGUUAACCCAAAGGACAUGACAAGAAACUCAAAGUAACCAUAACAGGUUCGGAAGGCUAUCUUUGGAAUAUCACAUUCUCUCACUUUAAGUUGAUGAUAGCCGGAUCUGAGGUCUAUCUUUGAGAAAUAACUCGCACCCUAUGACUGGUCAAACAAAUCAUCAAUUCUAGGAAGAGGAUAUUUGUUCGUGAUGGUGACCUUAUUAAGCUGACGAAAGUCGAUAUAUAUACGCAAAGAACCAUCUUUCUUUCGCACGAAUAGAACAGGUGCACCCCAAGGAGAAAUACUGGGCCUUAUAAAACCUUUAUCUAAAAGAUCUUUAAGUUGUUCUUUCAACUCCUUAAGUUCUGCAGGAGCCAUACGAUAUGGAGGAAUAGAAAUAGGUUUUAUAUCGGUAAAAAGGUCAAUCCCUAACUCUAUCUCUCUAUCGGGAGGCAACCCUAGAAGAUCUUUCGAAAAGACAUCAGGAAACUCAUUAACUAUGCUAACUGACUGAAGUGUCUGAGCUUCGAACUCAGUGUCUUUAACUCUAACCAGGUGAUAGAUACAACCUUUGGAUAUCAAUUUUCUGGCUUUGAGAUAGGAGAUAAAAUGACUCUUAGGAGACAUAGAAUUUCUGGACCACUCGAAAACUGGCUCAUCUGGAAAUUGAAACUUGACUACGCAGGUACGAUAGUCAAUAGAUGUGUAACAAGAAUGAAGCCAAUCCAUACCCAGAAUAACAUCAAAAUCCACCAUGUCCAACUCUAUCAAAUCAGCAAGUAUGACUGUGUGAAGAACAGUAACAGGACACUUUUUAUACACUUGUCUAGCAACAACAGACUCCCCUACUGAAGUGGAAACAAGGAAAGGCUUAGAAAUCUUUUCAGGACUCACUUCAAAUUUGACAACAACCAAUGGUGUCACAUAGGAAAAACUUGACCCAGGGUCCAGCAAUACAUAAACAUCAAAGUGGAAAACACAAAGCAUACCAGUAACAACAUCUAGAGAAUCCUCCUGCUCCUGGCGGGAUGGUAGAGCAUAAAAUCUGUUCUGGCGCUAACCGCCACCAGUGCUAGAAGAAGCGCCCUGAGGAGGAGCUGGACGAGCUACUGGAGCUGGUGCACUAGUAUCCUAAGUCUGAGGUCGAGCAUCACGAUUCCCCUGCCUAGCAUACGAGCAAUCUCAAAGUCUGUGGCCUAUCUUGCCACAACCAAAACAACCCCUCUGAUCAGCAAAGCACUCACAAGGAUGAUCUCUACCACACUUAGCACAUGGAGGACUACGAGGUCUAUGACUGACACUGUUAUAGGAUCUAGACAUAGCAGGCCUGUUCUCCUGAACCUGCCUGUCUCUUGGUGUGGGGGUACUGGCUGAAGAAAAAGUAGGUAAAGGUGGACGACUCAAAAACUGCGGAUGAUUCCCUCCGUGGGACCUAGCCUGGCUGUAUUCAUUCUGCUCAGAUCUAGCUCUUUUGUUACCCCUCACUCGAUCUUUUUCCCUUAGUUUAUCCGUCUCUAUCUGUUGUGCAUAAAUCAUCAACCUGGACAGAUCCAAUUCCCUGUUCAACAUAGCAAUCAUGCAUUCUUUCACAAUAAGGCCAGAAACACCUGUCAAGAAUUUAUUCAUAAUAGUGCAAGUGUCGGACAUCAAAUUAGGAACAUAUUUGGCUAGCUGAUUGAACUUCAGGCCGUACUCCUUAACCGUCAUAGAGCCCUGCCUUAGGUUCAUGAACUCCUUAAUUUUUGCUUCCCUCAGCUCCAACGGAAAGAACUUAUCCAAGAAUGCAUCUUGGAAUAUAUGCCAAGUAACGAGAAUGUCAUCUCCCCCUCUACCCUUCCUCCAACCAACUACCCAGUCAUACGCAAUGUCUUUCAACCUGUAAGAAGCCAGCUCAACGCCUUCUUCCUCAGAAAUAUGCAUUACCCGUAUGAUCUUUCUUACCUCCUCCAAAAAUAACUGUGGGUCCUCACCUUCUUUAGACCCAUAGAACUCAGGCGGAUUCAUCCUCAUAAAGUCACGAAGUCUAGCUGCAGCCGAAUCACUUCCUUGUGGGGGCGGAACUGCAGCCUAAUGACUAACCUGAGCAUUAACAGUGACUGCAUGGGCUAAUGCCUGAAAAGCUUCCCGGAACUCAGCAUGCGACACAUUUUCGUUCGGAGGGUUUUCAGGUUGAGGUGGCUGGUCAUUGAUUCUACGGAUACUGGCUCGGCGACGAGGCAUAUUCUGUCAUAAGAGAGCAUAAGUUAUUAGCAGAGAGAGACAACAGUAAGCACGACAUGUUAUGAAACAAAGAUAUGACUUUUUCCUAAAACGUCUCGUAGCCUCUUGCUCAUAGAUGUGGCGCGCUACACACCGAUGAUCAAGACUCUAUGCAACGCGGCUUAUCAGACUCUCUAGGACUCUCUUUAUAUCUUAGGCUCUGAUAACAAGUUUGUAACUCCCCAAAAUCUCACCCCGAGACGUCACACGGUGCUUAGGGAUAUACGUAGAUCCCAAGCUAACCCUUUGAUCCUACAACCAUACUUUAUACUUAAUUUAAGAAUUAAAAUCAAAUAAUCUAAGUUUCACUCUCAUCAAUCCAUGUUGUAAAUAUAAUGUCCAAGUCUCAAGAUACAGAGUAAUCUAGAAAUACAAAUCACAGUCUAGUCUGAAAAACCUCUACAACUCAAGAAUAGGAAGCCACUGGGACAGACCCCAACAGACUCAUACUCAAAUAGAAUAAGAUAAAUACAACAACUGAUGUUACAAAACAUCUGGAAAUAUGGUCCUUGAACCGUGAGGACUCACCACUGCAGGAGUGUAGAUAAAAGCGCUCAGAAAUCAUUGACGCUGCUGGGACUGAGUACCUGAACCUACAUCAUAAGAAAAUGUAGCCCACAUACGGAUAUGUGGGUCAGCAUUUUGGGAAUGUACUGAGUAUAUAGGGGUGUAUGCAAUUAAGUAAACAACAUCGUAAAUUUAUAUAAAAUCAUGCACGCGGAUCAUAAUGACUCACAAAGCUGGAAUAAAGCUGAAAUAUAAGAAUUUUAAAUCAUGAAUAAUGAACAUAUAUCAUAAAUCUUUAGCUCAAAAUCUGAACUUCUUCUUCUAUUCUCAAAACUCAAAGGCUAAGGAAAUCCGUAAACAAUAUUUUCAAAUCUCAUACUUUCAACUUAAUUCAGAGUAAGGGACAACUUCGAAAGUUUCUUUUAACCGACAUAAACCAUGUGAGCUUACCAUGGAAUCCAACGUUUUGUCCUCCUAAGAAGAAACCCCACGUUUGGAAGGAGCGUCAUACUCUUGCCAGGGAGUAUAACCUCAACUCAGUGAUCACCAACUCGGCCUUAGGCCCACAAAUCUCAACCCUACAGUGGCACAUAGUUUUGGAGAAGUAGGGUACGCUCACCCACACCUUCCGCUCGGUGCUAAAUACUACUCCCGUACUCAAGCUCAGUCCCAUUUAGGAAAUCCACCUCAAAAUAAUCUCAAGGGUCUAUAAUGAAGACCAAAUCAUAUUUCUCAUAAUUGAAUCAAAAUAAAUUGUGGAUUCCUAUUUUCAACUCAAAAUCACAAUAUCAUUCUUGACUCAAAUCUUCUCAAAAUCAUAUCUUUAUCAAAA